rnacentral:rRNA from 1 species
ACGGAGGGUGCAAGCGUUAUCCGGAAUCAUAGGGCUUAAAGGGUCCGUAGGCGGUCUUGUAAGUCAGUGGUGAAAGCCCAUCGCUCAACGAUGGAACGGCCAUUGAUACUGCAGGACUUGAAUUACCAGGAAGCAACUAGAAUAUGUAGUGUAGCGGUGAAAUGCUUAGAGAUUACAUGGAAUACCAAUUGCGAAGGCAGGUUGCUACUGGUGGAUUGACGCUGAUGGACGAAAGCGUGGGUAGCGAACAGGA